AGUGCUUCUGCCCGUGGUAGGCUCUGUGAUCUUGAGGACGUCCUCUCUCUGAGUGACCCCUCUCGAUUCCCUAGGGCCGCGCUUGCCCUCUGUCCGAGUCUCCUGCAUCGGCGCCUGGACGCGGUGAGGGCACUGUGGGAAGGCAGCAAGCCAGAGAGAGCGCCAUUUCCAGAAACCAAACCAGGUGGCUUCCCGAUUUUGGACUUCCUGCAUCCUGAACUGAGAAAAUAAAUAUUUAUUAUUUAAGCCACACAA